GAAGAUACCUUUCAAAGAUGGCGGCCGGCGUACGCAUGCACAGUACGGGUUUGUUACCUUCGCCUCACAGCAGUCGAAGAAGGGAAAAACGGGAAGCUAACGUCAAUUUAAUGCGAGACGGAGUGGAAAAACAUAACAAUGUUGAAAGAGUUGGUGAGGGAGCGACUCAUUGCGGACUGUUUGAAAGAACGAUAGCGUCGUACGAGGAGCAACUUUGUCGAGCGAGAGAGGAGACCGAGCGACAUCGACGACAACUGGAAGAUGUUUACAAGAGUCACAUGGUGCUACACCGCGAAGAAUUCUUGUCCGGAAGUACUUCCCCCUCGCCCCCAGGGGGCGAGUUCCAAUUUGGAGCAUUCUCAUCUGCCCCAUAUAAAAAAAGAAGAGGAGGAGGCAGAUGUGGAGACCACUGCGGAGGACCACCACCUCCCCACCUCUUAUCUCCACUCUCCUACAGCGACAACACCGAAGAAAUUCUGAUUCAAGUGGAGCGCAGGGGAGUCCAGAAAUGGGUUUGUGUGCCAAGGAAUGAGGACUGCUAUGAUUACUCCAGAUUCAUUCAAGAAGUUGAUGUAGACCUGAAGGAUUCUUUAGGAGUUAUCGUGGAUGAUGACAUAUUUGACCAACUACUGAGAUCUGCUCCAGUAUCGUUCAAGGUGUCCACUGAGCACUCUGCUGAGAACAAGUUGUUGGAGGCCUCCAUCCGCUCAUUCUCACGUGUUAAGUCUGAGAGGUCAUCUUCAUCACUUGAGUCUGCGAGCGCAACACAAACUUCUGCUUCAACCAUCAUUAUAAGCACCAAAAGACGUAAAAGGCACCUACCUACCUGAGGGACCACCAGAAAGUAACACGGCAAGAGAUGUUGUUUACCAUGCUCUGUGUCAGAAACCAGGCGGUAACGAUAUAUGCAGAGUAUGACAAAACCAAGGGCCUGUCUGAUCGUACAAGAAAGAAACUUGUUAACAUCUUGGUGCCAGAUAUGAUUGAAAGUCAUGGGCAAGUAAACGGUUCAGCGCAACAGUCCAAGCAAAUCCAAGUUGAGUGCCAGGCCUAUCUUUGAACGUGGCCCAAAGACCCUGUGAGACCUCUCGACAUCUGAACAGCUCUCAGAUGAUGAAUGCACGGAGGCGAUUCGGUGGACCAGCCAGUUGUCAGAGAGAAAAUGAAGGCAACAUUCGAGCACAGAAGAUGCUACACAAUCCAGACCAGUCCACACUUGUCAUGGAUCACGUUCCACGAUACACCAGGCCUUGUAAGAAGUAGAUUUGAGUUGAAAUACUGUAGCAAUUGAUAGAAAGUUUUUUUUGGAUCGACUUUUCUUUGUUAGGUUGACCAAUACUUCAUUCACCAUGCUGUUUGGAGAAGACAUCUCAGGCAAAUUCAUGGCAAAAUGGCCAACUUUCUACCAGCGUUGGGUCAUCACUGUCUUCAAAGGUCUUUGUCCUGAUACUCAACUGGAUGACCUUCUGUCUGCUCAGGAAGAAUCACAUGUGUGUGUGUGUCCAUUCACUAGGAUGUGACAGUAUCUUUGCAGCUAUCCUGGUUGUUCAUCUCUUACCUCCAACAGCAAACGGAAAAAGACAUGGAAAUAUCAGUGCCUACCAUGUUCUUAAGUUCAUGAAGUUUCCAGUGGUGGAAGCAAAGAGGGCUCGGCUACUGAGAGUUGGUGGUCAAAUGUUGAGGAAGACGCACCUGCAAGGAAAAGACAGAGGGCUGAAAACAACUGGAACAAAGUCAUCAACAAGACAAGAAGAAUGGUUGGGAAGCCAUAUGUUGGAAAACAGAAGCAAAAGGAAGUCAUGCGGCAGCCACGUGUUAUGGGGCCGAGAUGUUCAUCAGCAGCAUGUGCCAAGUCGGCCAAACAUCACUGCAGCGCAAUCAGCGAGCCCGAGAGGAAUUCCAUUUUCAACGGCUUUUGGCGACGGAAGAGGGCGUAUGUGCGUGGUCUGAUUGACGUGGUCCCCGUGCAGAGGAGAAGAGGGGCUGACAGUUCCCGUAGAUCAAAUUCUAAGUUGUUUUUUUUUACUGGUCAGUGGGCAGAGAAGACGCGUCUGCAAAGGUAUGUUUUUGUCUACCCUGGGAAUAGGCGAGUGGUCUGCCAUUAACUGGGUCAAGGAGGGAAACGCGCAAGCAGACACAGCGGGACAAAUGCACAGCAAUGCACGUCGUUCUUUGGCAGGCCAUAAUUUCAUUCGCAGCUUUUUGCAAGACCUCCCGAAGUUGCCCUCCAACUAUGGCACAUGCAAACAGUAUCUGGAACCUGCCUUUCAGUCAAUGGCCGCUCUGUAUUCAGUGUAUUGUCGCGUCGCAGCAGAGAAGACUGUAACACCCAUGUCAAGGCAAGUGUUCGCAGACGACUUCAAGCGUCUCAACCUCGGCUUCUACCGCCUGGACCAGGACCAGACUGGGGAGCGGGCUGUGACAUCACGAGAGACGACGACAACACGUGGCGCUGCCCCUCUGCGGCUGCUGGAGGAGAACUAACUAAGAUAUAAGAGAGCGAGGCGUGUUUUUUUUUGUGUGUUUUUUCCCCCCCCCCAGGGCCAAUGCCAAUUGAUAGUAGUCAAUGAGGCCGAUAACCGAUAUUUGGAGCAGAUACCAAGAAAAUAUUAGCGUCAAAAUUCGGAAUGAUUGCCAUACAUUAUGUGAGGAGUGAGUGAUGUUUGUUUUUAAUAUAGUUCAUGUAGCACAUAGCAUUAACUCUUCAGUUUUCUCCAGAAAGCUUUCUUUUCUUGGAUGUAUCCAUGGUUUGCUGGCUGGGUUCGAAUAGUUGAAUAAAUGUUGGCGCCAGGUGUCACACAUCAGCACGUGAAUUUUGAGUGACAAAAAAAUAUUGUAAAAACGUUUACUGUUUUUGCUUUGUUACAAGAGCAUCAAAAUCUUCAAAUUUAGAAUUACAUUUGAAAAAAACAAACUCAUUUCAAUGAAAUACUGUUGUAAUGAUUUUCAGAAUUCGCAGUAAUCCACAGCAGAAGGGCGAAAGAGCCACAUAACUCGAUAACAGAUGCUACAAUUAACACAUACUGUACAGCCACCUCUUGCCAUUCAUACAACCAAAUCAAAGCUUUGUGUUCAAUUAAACAGGCCCCGAUGUCACGCUGAGUGAAUCCAUUUGUGAAUACAUUGAAACAGCCGCGUUAUUUCAUGAUUCAUACUUUUUGUGACAUUCGUGUAAUGUAACAUACGUGCCUUUUCUCAAUAAAAGUUGAAGUCAGGA